GAGUUUGAUCAUGGCUCAGGAUGAACGCUGGCGGCGUGCCUAAUACAUGCAAGUCGAGCGAACGGACGAGAAGCUUGCUUCUCUGAUGUUAGCGGCGGACGGGUGAGUAACACGUGGAUAACCUACCUAUAAGACUGGGAUAAACUUCGGGAAACCGGAGCUAAUACCGGAUAAUAUUUUGAACCGCAUGGUUCAAAAGUAAAAGACGGUCUUGCUGUCACUUAUAGAUGGAUCCGCGCUGCAUUAGCUAGUUGGUAA
rnacentral:rRNA from 1 species